UCCGUCCUUGUUACUUCACAUAAAUUCUAAGGAAUCCUUCGUUAAAUAUGGAAAUAGAAAUAUUCAUGUUUUUUCUAAGUAUAAGAUUUUGAAAGAACUUAUAUUAGAUUCUAAGUUAAUGAACGAUUGAAUUGCCAUGGAAUUUUUCCAGAAUAUUGCUAAACAUGAUUGUAAUAACCCAAAUUUGCCCGGCCCACAUAUAUUGCAAAAAAUAAAAAUAAAAAAAAUAAAAAAAUCCAAAUAAAUUAAAAAGUCCAAUAAUAUCAGUUCAGAUACAAUCCAAUACAAUAAGCCUGAUUUCUAAAUACCAAGGCCCAAAGUAUCAAACCUGAAAUAGACCCCAAACCCAAUUUUCAUAACCCGA
rnacentral:lncRNA from 1 species